GGGACACGUGGUAUCCUGUCUGAAUAUGGGGGGACCAUCCUCCAAGGCUAAAUACUCCUGACUGACCGAUAGUGAACCAGUACCGUGAGGGAAAGGCGAAAAGAACCCCGGCGAGGGGAGUGAAAAAGAACCUGAAACCGUGUACGUACAAGCAGUGGGAGCACGCUUAGGCGUGUGACUGCGUACCUUUUGUAUAAUGGGUCAGCGACUUAUAUUCUGUAGCAAGGUUAACCGAAUAGGGGAGCCGAAGGGAAACCGAGUCUUAACUGGGCGUUAAGUUGCAGGGUAUAGACCCGAAACCCGGUGAUCUAGCCAUGGGCAGGUUGAAGGUUGGGUAACACUAACUGGAGGACCGAACCGACUAAUGUUGAAAAAUUAGCGGAUGACUUGUGGCUGGGGGUGAAAGGCCAAUCAAACCGGGAGAUAGCUGGUUCUCCCCGAAAGCUAUUUAGGUAGCGCCUCGUGAAUUCAUCUCCGGGGGUAGAGCACUGUUUCGGCAAGGGGGUCAUCCCGACUUACCAACCCGAUGCAAACUGCGAAUACCGGAGAAUGUUAUCACGGGAGACACACGGCGGGUGCUAACGUCCGUCGUGAAGAGGGAAACAACCCAGACCGCCAGCUAAGGUCCCAAAGUCAUGGUUAAGUGGGAAACGAUGUGGGAAGGCCCAGACAGCCAGGAUGUUGGCUUAGAAGCAGCCAUCAUUUAAAGAAAGCGUAAUAGCUCACUGGUCGAGUCGGCCUGCGCGGAAGAUGUAACGGGGCUAAACCAUGCACCGAAGCUGCGGCAGCGACGCUUAUGCGUUGUUGGGUAGGGGAGCGUUCUGUAAGCCUGUGAAGGUGUGCUGUGAGGCAUGCUGGAGGUAUCAGAAGUGCGAAUGCUGACAUAAGUAACGAUAAAGCGGGUGAAAAGCCCGCUCGCCGGAAGACCAAGGGUUCCUGUCCAACGUUAAUCGGGGCAGGGUGAGUCGACCCCUAAGGCGAGGCCGAAAGGCGUAGUCGAUGGGAAACAGGUUAAUAUUCCUGUACUUGGUGUUACUGCGAAGGGGGGACGGAGAAGGCUAUGUUGGCCGGGCGACGGUUGUCCCGGUUUAAGCGUGUAGGCUGGUUUUCCAGGCAAAUCCGGAAAAUCAAGGCUGAGGCGUGAUGACGAGGCACUACGGUGCUGAAGCAACAAAUGCCCUGCUUCCAGGAAAAGCCUCUAAGCAUCAGGUAACAUCAAAUCGUACCCCAAACCGACACAGGUGGUCAGGUAGAGAAUACCAAGGCGCUUGAGAGAACUCGGGUGAAGGAACUAGGCAAAAUGGUGCCGUAACUUCGGGAGAAGGCACGCUGAUAUGUAGGUGAAGUCCCUCGCGGAUGGAGCUGAAAUCAGUCGAAGAUACCAGCUGGCUGCAACUGUUUAUUAAAAACACAGCACUGUGCAAACACGAAAGUGGACGUAUACGGUGUGACGCCUGCCCGGUGCCGGAAGGUUAAUUGAUGGGGUUAGCGCAAGCGAAGCUCUUGAUCGAAGCCCCGGUAAACG
rnacentral:rRNA from 1 species